CUACUUUUAAAGCAUUUUCAGACAUGCUUUAAGAAUUUAAAUGAUGGAACAUGGGUACAUAUAAAUCCAGUAUUUAGAGAUAUACUUAAUAUUAGUGACAAACUCUGUGCUUUUAUAGUUAAAUUAACAUUGUUCUUCAAAUUUUCCAUCUCUUCUGUUACCAGAAAACUACAUGUGUCAGUGAGAAAAGCUGAAUUUGAAUUGAAGUAUCUGCCUUUGGGAAAUGUUUUCAUUUGAAAAUAAGUUUAUCUUACAUGAUACUGUACUUCUCCUAGAAAUACAGUGCAACUAGCUAUGAAGUGUUAUCUGGCUCCAUUCUCUUCUGCAUAUCCACAGCAGGGCUGGACCAAGAAUGUUCAGAGGAAGCAUUUUUCUCAGUUCCUAUUCCAGGCUUUUGCUCUACCCUGCUUCCAAGCCAGACCUGCAACAGAACUUACUGACUCAGUUUGGUCCAGGACUGAAAGUUUAUGAUCACAUUAACAGAUUAAUUAUGUUCUUCAGAUUAAUGGCUGUCAGCUACCAACCAUGUAAGGUGAGAGUACAUAUUCAUUUUCCCCAGAGUCUUUUACAAUUACAAAUACUCAAGUGAUACAUUUCUGUGAGAGCAUCUAGUAAACGGAUGACCUAAGAAAGAGUGAAGCUUGGAGAUUUUGCAUCCGUCUUGUGCCUAUGAAGAGAGAGCAAAAAGAAUUACAGAGCUAUCAAUCCAGAGUUCUGACAUUAAAUUGCUAACCCAGUGCCAGCAUGCACCUAAUUAAAGUAGACAAGCCCCUCUUGGCUAAACUCUAUUAGUCUGUUAUUCUGUUACGUAUUGCAGAAAAUACUUCCAAAAUACUAAAAAGUUUCUUAAAAACCUG
rnacentral:lncRNA from 1 species